rnacentral:sRNA from 1 species
GUUGCGGCAAAAUCCGUAACCGGGAUUGGAACCCCGAAACUACAAGGCGACCCGAAGCCGCCUACCCCCGUAUGCGGUUUUUUU